GUGCUUGCUUUGGCUACACAUAUACUAAAAAAUUGGAAUGAUGCAGAGAAGAUUAGCAAGGCCCCUAUGCAAGGAUGAUGCACAAAUUUGUGAAGCAUUCCAUAUUUUG